GGAGAGGUGACCGAGCGGCCGAAGGUGCUCGCCUGGAAAGCGGGUGUACUGCAAGGUACCGAGGGUUCGAAUCCCUCCCUCUCCG
rnacentral:tRNA from 1 species